rnacentral:rRNA from 1 species
GAUGAACGCUGGCGGCGUGCCUAAUACAUGCAAGUCGAGCGAACAGACGAGGAGCUUGCUCCUCUGACGUUAGCGGCGGACGGGUGAGUAACACGUGGAUAACCUACCUAUAAGACUGGGAUAACUUCGGGAAACCGGAGCUAAUACCGGAUAACAUGUUGAACCGCGUGGUUCAACAGUGAAAGACGGUCUUGCUGUCACUUAUAGAUGGAUCCGCGCCGCAUUAGCUAGUUGGUAAGGUAACGGCUUACCAAGGCAACGAUGCGUAGCCGAACUGAGAGGGUGAUCGGCCACACUGGAACUGAGACACGGUCCAGACUCCUACGGGAGGCAGCAGUAGGGAAUCUUGCGCAAUGGGCGAAAGCCUGACGGAGCAACGCCGCGUGAGUGAAGAAGGUCUUCGGAUCGUAAAACUCUGUUAUUAGGGAAGAACAAAUGUGUAAGUAACUAUGCACGUCUUGACGGUACCUAAUCAGAAAGCCACGGCUAACUACGUG